AUCUGAAAGAGAUUUAAAGAUUUAUCGGUGAUGGAUGGGGAUGCGUCUGAUUAGCUUGUUGGCGGGGUUAACGGCCCACCAAGGCGACGAUCAGUAGGGGUUCUGAGAGGAAGGUCCCCCACAUUGGAACUGAGACACGGUCCAAACUCCUACGGGAGGCAGCAGUGAGGAAUAUUGGUCAAUGGACGAGAGUCUGAACCAGCCAAGUAGCGUGCAGGAUGACGGCCCUAUGGGUUGUAAACUGCUUUUAUAAGGGAAUAAAGUGGGAGUCGUGACUCUUUUUGCAUGUACCUUAUGAAUAAGGACCGGCUAAUUCCGUG
rnacentral:rRNA from 1 species